UACGUAGGGUGCAAGCGUUAAUCGGAAUUACUGGGCGUAAAGCGCGCGCAGGCGGCUUUGCAAGUCAGAUGUGAAAUCCCCGGGCUUAACCUGGGAACUGCAUUUGUGACUGCAUGGCUAGAGUGCGGCAGAGGGGGAUGGAAUUCCGCGUGUAGCAGUGAAAUGCGUAGAUAUGCGGAGGAACACCGAUGGCGAAGGCAAUCCCCUGGGCCUGCACUGACGCUCAUGCACGAAAGCGUGGGGAGCAAACAGG
rnacentral:rRNA from 1 species